UGGAGUAGCACUGGUGACCCAUGCCAUAUAGGUGAAGAGAUGAGGUUCUGUAAAUUUAGAUGAUUUCCCAAGAUUAUGAAAUGAGUAACAACUUACUGAUAAAGCUGUGAAGAGUAAAUAAGUUGAAUAUAUGUAAAACUCUAGAGUGUAGGAAAUAUGGUAUAGCGAUAGUUACUUCGCUGGGAUGCUGUGCGACCUUACCUCUGAGAACUGCAUCAACAAGGAAUGGAAAACAUGGUGAGAGGAAGCUUUAAGAGAGAAAGGAAGCCUGAAUAUGAAAGACAAGAGUUCUACGAAGACAAAGCAAACUUCAACACGCCACACCCUGGAGAUUUGAUGUACUGAAGGUUCUGAACUCUGGCAUUCAGUUACCACUGGACCACGGACUGUGUCGCACUGCAGUGAUUCAUCCACUGUCUGCCUUCUCCUCAUUCUGGGCUGCUUCAGGGCAGGAACAAACCCACCCGUUAGCGUAUCUCCAACCUCAUAAAGUCUCUGGACAGUCAUAUGGAAUCAGUCAGUGUGAGUUGAGGAAGUCAAUGAGUACUCGAGAAGGUUAAAUUCAAAAUACCUAACAGGGAAAUAUGGCCCAAAAAUAAAAAUAAUUAUUCCAUGAAAUUCUAUUUCUAGAAACGGCAAUGAGUCUUCACCCUGUGACUUUAUAAGGUAUUGAUUACGAGUUUUCUUGCCAUCAAUGUUUGCCUCAGUUCCCUUUCUAUAAGAACAAAGGAUUUUAUAUGCACCACAUAAGCUCAUGGUGUUUCAUUUCUUCAAAUCCAAACCCAUGGAACCCUGCCCUCAGGCUAGCCACUUGGACAAGUCAGCCAUUAGCUGUGAGCAUAUCUGGCCAUUCCUCUUGACCUCUUUCUUUAGAGCCCAAGAACAGAAGAGGACUUUCUCUCUCCCUGAUCAGGCUUUCCCUUAUUUUACCCCAGGUGACUGACAUAUCUUUCAGGAGAACCCCCAAUGGAUUAAGGUAAUUUUCUAGACAUAUAAAUAAGUGAGGUCAACAAAUAACUUGAAAACUAUAAGAAAAAUUUUCCAAAGGGCCUUCUAUCUUAAUCUUUACUUCAUAUUUUUUACUUAGGCCAUUUGUAAAUAUCUAUUUGCUCUGUGCUUAUUUAUUUCUUGGCCCA